GAACAACUCAUUCUCUGAGCCACCCUGGAGAUCCUCAGAGGGAAGGAAGCAUUGUGUAUCCUGAGUUAGAAGCAGGGCUCUUGCUGCAUAGAGAUUGGAAUGGAUUUUAUGAACACUGUGGCCCCGCCGUCUCAGCUGUUUCUGCAGUGAGACAAACCCUCCAAUAGAUGAUGCCAUUUGGUGAUUUACAGGCCUUCCUGAUAAUGGCAAUCAUUUAUGUACGGUGGCAAGCAAGAAAGGACACUGAAGUUUGCCACUGGAGAAUCCAGAAAUAAAUACCUUUCACCCGGCAUCACUUAAAGACAGCUGAGAAAGAAUAUAGCUACAGAUGUGCUGACGCAGCUGUUUUCCAGGGACGGUUUUCCCAUCUUGUUUCAGUAUCAAGAAUGAAUGGCAAGAGGACAAGUGAGAAUCUACUCAGUGAAGCGGAGUAUCGAAGGUUGAGAAGCAAGGGACUGGCAGCUGGGAACACGCUGGUUUCUGAAAGCUCCAACCAGAGACAUGUAAGAGGGGCUAAAAGUAAACCAGCCAUGAAGUAUAAGAUUCCUUGUGCAUCAUCUCCUCAUGAAUCAACUGUCCUUUUUGUAGAAGUUAAGAAUUCACAAGCAUCAUAACAGACCAUGGAAGUCAGAGUGGGCAAGAGCCAGUUCCCUGGGAUUCAACAUUUGUUCAUUCAUUUAGUAAAUAUUUUCCAUCUAGUGUAUGUCACUUUACUAACAUUGUGGGAUGGAAAGAAAACACCCACAGCCCUUACCUCUAGAACUUACUUUAA
rnacentral:lncRNA from 1 species